AUGGGGGCCAUCAUGUGCUGCUUACGCGGCCGCGGCCCCGGCGACGACGCGCCUGGCUGCUGCUGCCUGCCAUGGCCUUUCCUGAACAACGAUCGCAACAACGACAACAACAACACCAAUCACAACUCGGGCCCUCCUGCUCGUCAAAGAGCGAAUACACGGGUUGCGCCUGUUCAGGGAAGGGUUCCUCCUGCGGGUUCACGGCAGGAUGAUUCAAUGAACACCUUCCGCUGCCCUCCUAGGCCUUUGCCUUAUGAUGAUCCUCAAUUCAGACAUCAAACGGAGCGCCACCCGCUGGUGGCAGGACGUGACAAGGCUUCAACACAAUCCCAGAAAUCUAAUCUACUUGAAGAAAGCAAUGAUGCUGAUACCAGAUCAACUUGUGCCGAUGAGAAGGCUGAUGGAUCGUCCCUGAAAGCUGAGUCGGGAGGUAAAAAACUCGGGGGAGCUAAGGUCUGUGUUCCUUCUGAUUGUGAGGAUGACUGUCCAAUAUGCCUAGAAGAGUAUGAUUACGAGAAUCCAAAGGUAGUGCUUCAGUGCAACCAUAAUUUCCAUCUUAGUUGCAUUUACGAGUGGAUGGAAAGAAGUCAAUCUUGUGCUGUCUGUGCCAAGGUAAUGUUGUUUAAAGAGGACCAAUAA
rnacentral:rRNA from 1 species